rnacentral:lncRNA from 1 species
CCUGUUGGUCAAUAUCAGACAGUUCUUCUAAUGAUGUCUUCACGCUGAGCCAUACUUGUCCGAGGAUUCAUCUUCUGUUUCUUAGAGAUUGUUGUUUAGCAGAUCUAGGUCGAUGACCUCUAGAGUUUUAGUUUAUGUGCAAUUGAAACUGAUAAAACGAAGGGAGAGAGGAAGGCGAAGGAGCCAAUUCACCAUGGAUGUGGAGUUCGGGAAAGACGAAGAAAAAGAGUCUACGACGACGAAAUCCAGCGGCUUGACGGAUUAGGGUUCUGAGUUAGACUUUGAACAAGGCCAAUCCAUAUGUGUUUCUUCAAGUAAACAAUGAAGAAGAAGAUAGAGAUAAUGAUUUUUCUUCUUCUUUGUAAAACGGAAAUGUUUUGGAAAACAAAAACCCAUUUCUACCAAAACUCACGCUCCAAAUGAGAAAAUCGGAAUGAGUAGAUCGAGAGCGGAUUAAGUGGAUCAAACGGAUCAAACGGUCCAAAACAUAUGUUCGAAUGGUAAAAAUGGAUAAAAAGCGGUUCAAAAUACUGUAUAGAUC